CUGGCUCAGGACGAACGCUGGCGGCGUGCCUAACACAUGCAAGUCGAGCGAUGAACCCUUCGGGGUGGAUUAGCGGCGGACGGGUGAGUAACACGUGGGUAACCUGCCUUAUAGAGGGGGAUAGCCUUCCGAAAGGAAGAUUAAUACCGCAUAACAUGUUUUUAUCGCAUGGUAGAAACAUCAAAGGAGCAAUCCGCUAUAAGAUGGACCCGCGGCGCAUUAGCUAGUUGGUGAGGUAAGGGCUCACCAAGGCGACGAUGCGUAGCCGACCUGAGAGGGUGAUCGGCCACAUUGGAACUGAGACACGGUCCAGACUCCUACGGGAGGCAGCAGUGGGGAAUAUUGCGCAAUGGGGGAAACCCUGAACCGCAGCAACGCCGCGUGAAUGAAGAAGGCCUUAGGGUUGUAAAGUUCUGUUUUCUGGGACGAUAAUGACGGUACCAGAGGAGGAAGCCACGGCUAACUACGUGCCAGCCGCAGC
rnacentral:rRNA from 1 species